GGAAGUGAGGGAGAACUGGCCGUGACAUCUGUCACCCCAUCAUGUGCCAGGCUGAUUCAGCUGAUGAGGCUACACGGCGUCUCCUUCUCCCUCAAUACUCCAGGUGCCCUGUUCCAAAGAAGUGUGCUCAGUUGAUAACGAUGAUUAUUCCUCAUAGAAGAGGAUGGCCAUAGGUGAAGGGCACAUGAGUAGCUGAACUAUCGUGUUGGAACCUCCAAACAUGUUCUCAAUAGUUGCUUUCAUGUUUACUGCAUGGUUGUUCCCUGUUCCAGGCCUUACUCACUUUCUCAAUUACACUACUUUCUGAACUUGA
ensembl:misc_RNA 7SK 7SK RNA